rnacentral:tRNA from 1 species
UGGGGUGUCGCCAAGCGGUAAGGCAACGGACUCUGACUCCGUCAUCCUAGGUUCGAAUCCUAGCACCCCAG